ensembl:lncRNA
CAACCAGCCAUUGUAUUUAUUUAUUACUGCAUGUAUUUGUAGUAAAACAUGAGUUGAAACAUCCUACUUUAGAGAUCUAGCUCCUCACACAUCUUUACCUGCACAUGAGGAAAAUCACUCCUGUAGAAUGCAGUGGUUCAUCAGAACCUCUGGGGAUGUCCUGUGGAUUCUGUGGAUCCUGUGGGUUGCAGGGUGGGUCCUACCUAGACCAGACUGAUCCUGGACCAUCCCACAGAUGCUCAAUCAGAUCUGGAUGUGGGGAGUGUGGAACCCAGAUGUUCAGAGGGAGAUGAUGCCACAUCUGGUCCAGCUGAUGGAAGGUCUUGAAGUUCUCUGACUGGCCUCGACUGAAGAUGGUCGUCUCACUGGAUUUAAGGUUCAGAUGCUCAGUAACAAACUCCACCAAUGUGCCAACAGGGAAGCUUUAGGUUUAUUAAAUGUUGCUAUGAAGGUUUCGCUGUUUUUCUUUGUGAAUGCAAUGUGCUCCAACUGAAACUUGAAUUAGAACUUAGAAGUAAAUCCUUCCAUCUGAAAGGAUUUAGUUGCAUUAAUAACCUCAUAACAUUCUAAUUUUUAUUCCAGUCUUAGUUGGAAAUAGAAUCUCUGUAUUGAUUCAGGUAAAAACUGAACUUCACAGCAUGUUGAAGCAAAACAACCAGAUGAAAACUGUGAUGGUGUUGGAUUGUCAGACCGUAAUAUUGCAGCUCAAAGCAGCUUUUCUAUCUCAGUUCAUUCUGACAUUCAGCUAUGAAUCAACACAGCAGAUGGUGAUCCAUGCUGUGGAAGUCUCACAUCUCCUGAUUUAAUGGAGCUGCUUUGCACUUUUUACACUGUUUAUUCACCAACACUUUAUUUAAUAAAAGUCCCAUCUAGUUUUUAUGAGGAAUGUGAUGUUUUAAUUUCUCUGUGAAUAACUGCAGUCUAAUGCAACAGCUGGAGUUGUAACAUCUGUCCUGAUAUUGAUCAUGAAGUAUUGAUCAGAAUACUGAUGAUCAGCAGUCAUCCCUGAAGUUUUAUAUUAAAAUCUUUACUUGUGUUGUGAACUUUGGUAAGAAGCAGAAACUUUUGCGUUGCCAUGGAUAUAUGAGUGUUAAAUUCUGUCCAUGUUUCCAUUUUGGGAAAUGCAGUCCAGUUCCAGAAUGUGGAGGAAUUUAGUCUCACAAUCACAGACAACAAAUACUAUCUGAAAGUCGGGUUAUUGUUGUUUAUCAGCACAAUACAAAAAGAUUAAUGUUAGAAAUAUUCCAGUUAAGACUCUAGAAUAUCAUGAUUUAUGUAAAUUUACCUCAAUAAUAUGAAUGUUCAGGUUAAGAUUGUACA